rnacentral:rRNA from 1 species
UACGUAGGGGGCAAGCGUUGUCCGGAAUCAUUGGGCGUAAAGCGCGCGUAGGCGGCCCGAUAAGUCCGCUGUAAAAGUCCAGGGCUCAACCCUGGAAAGCCGGUGGAUACUGUCGGGCUAGAGUCCGGAAGAGGCGAGUGGAAUUCCUGGUGUAGCGGUGAAAUGCGCAGAUAUCAGGAGGAACACCGAUGGCGAAGGCAGGUCUCUGGGCCACUACUGACGCUGAGAAGCGAAAGCAUGGGGAGCGAACAGG